CUUCAGGCAAGGCGAGGGUUCACGGGUGCCGUUUACAGGCAAAGCUUGAACAGCGUCAAGUGGCCCCUGUCCAGGCUAGAAGUUAAGCACUUCCUCAUUAAAUCCAGUCCUCUGCAAAAACAGAAGGAACCGUGAGAAGAAAGAGCAGGCCCGAGGACCCUCGCCACACACUAAGGAUGACUCAUGGAGACAGCCAUUCUCCUGCAGACUGGUGUUGACCUGUGAGGCAGGUUUGUCUCACCCUCCCAAUCAACUGGUGAAGUGGUUAGAGCUGUGCCCAUUCAACAGAUGAGGAAACAGAGGCUCAAACAAGGGCCAAUGACCUUUUCUGCUCUGGAAGCAGAAGAGAAGAAUCGUGGACUCGUCUAGUCCCUGAGUCUGUGGUCUCUGCACUUCAAAAGUCCUGGAGUUUCUGGGAGAUACCUGCUGAGCGAGGUAGCAGGAGUUGUUUCCUUUGUCAUUUAGGGGGAGCACAGGGUCCCACUCCCACACUCAUUGGACCAGCUGAGUGUAUUCAGCAAAACCCUGACUGAGUUUAUGAGACACCCCAAAGUGUGCCCCUCCAGACUGGCAGAGACCCUUUAGAGACGAUACUCUCCUCAGAGGGCGGGGCUUCGCUGGCUGUGUGGUUGGCAGACAGAGCCUCCUAGGACAAUGUCUGUCUAAGGUGACCCGUAGACAUGUGUCCCUUUUGGUUCCUGGAUCCUGCUAGAAGCUGGCCUCCACUCUCCCUAGUGCCUCCUGAUCCCAGGGAGCUACUGAGGUGUACACCCACCCUCUCUUGGGGUUUAGUCCAAGCCUUGAGGAAACUCCAGGAAAGUGGGAAGUAGGUCCUUCAUGGGCCAGCUUGCUGCAGGAGAGCAUGCAGUGACCUAGGAGCCUUGUUCUGACUCAUGGUCAGUCCCUGUGUCCUCCAGCCUGGAGCCUGGGCUGCAGGGCUGUCAUGAAUGAAUGGCUACCCCCUGACCACAGGCCCCUGGGGACUGGCCCAGGGCCCAGGCCUCCUACGGAACAGCAUGUUGGGAGGGAAUGCUAAGGGCCUCUGAUGACCAAGAAGCCAGACAGUGUUCGGCUUCCCCCCUCAACACACACUUCCCUUAGAGUUUGUUUCCUUGCAGACUCUGGGUUCCACAGAUGUCUCCCUUCGAGAAGGAAGCGGUGACCCGACUGGGUUAUUGUGUGUGUGGCCUCGUACAGCAUCUACCUUUGUUCCACAGAGCAGCAGCAUAAAAACCUGCCGGGACGGGGCACUGUGCGUUCAGUGGCUUGCACAGGAAAUUGGAAAUCGGAGACCCGGGAUCGACCCCCCAUUCCUCUGACUCACGCUUAAACAAACCAAACACACCCCCGACCUUUGCUCCCUGUGUCUGCGUCUGCGGCAGGCCUUACCCACCAGCAACUCCCUCUCUCACCUUUGCUGGCACAGGGCUCACCGGCUCGCCAAAGGAUUCACACAAAGAAGGAGGUGUGGAAGAAGGCAACCUGUAAUCCCAGCACGGAAGAGGAAAGCAGAGGAACCCCAGAACUGCUGGGGCUGGGGGAGGGGGUGCAAGUCAGGCUGUGGGCGUCACCCGUGGGCCCCAGAAAUCAGGCUCAGCGUGUGGCGUCACGCAUCUUCGCUUAGUCAUUUUUCAGAAUCUCCACCUCAGCUUUUAAGACAGGGCAUCUUGCUGUAUCUGAAGCUCCCUGAUCCGCUACACUGGUUGGCCCUUGCGUUCUCAGGGUUGGCCUACUCUCUCCCUGCUUAGGGCUGUUGACUGAUGCUCACCACCACGCUGAUUGUUUAAGUGGGGAUCAGAACUCAGGCCAUUACGAUUGGAUGGCAAGCUACCUAGCCAUCCCCCAGCUGGUUGGUCUUGUUUUGGUUGCCGGUCCUUCUUCCCAUUCACCCAGAGCCGUUGCCAGCAACAGCCCCGGUCACUGUUGGGUGGCCAAGCCUGUCAUGCCGAGGAAGCGUGGAAGCCAAUAUUCAGCCCGGUUGCUCUUUUCCCUGUUCUUUAGGGUGGCUCAGCCCAGCUCCGCUUUCUGAGAAAACAAGGCUGAACUUUGCUCAGCCAAAGCCUAAUUUCCCUGAGGUCUGCUGUUUGCUCCCCAGCCCGCCUCCCUCCUGCUGCUCAACUGUUGACCAGUCUCCCCACACCUCUCUCUGCUUCCUCGGCUCUAGCACCUACUUGGAAGGUAGCCAUAUGGGGCCAGGCAGAUGGAAUACGUGUCCUAUGCUGAUCAUGACCUGCUGGGCUUGACCUCACCACCAACCUUGCCUCGCAGCACCACUGGGUAACUGCUCGCUUUGGGGGUGUCCGUUGGCCGGCACAAAGAGGCAGCACCUCCACACGGCACGCUGUCCAUGCUGCGCCAUGACGACAUCCAAGAACGUCUGACUAGACAUUGCGACUGGGGACUAGACACUACCGGGGAGACAUGGAUGCCGUGGCACAUGUAUGCAGAUCAGGGGACAAUCCACAGGAGCUGGUUCUAUCCUUUUACUCCGCCUGGCGUGACUCCCAGAGAGCCUCAGCAACAGGUGCCGAGUGAUCGUCUAGCUGUGGACAGAUCUCAACCUGAGUUGCUGUGGACCAGGCAGGUGUCCAUGAGAGGAGACAAGCGCCCCUCCCAGCCCUGAUACACAGAGCCAGGUGGACCCAAGGGAGAGGAGGGAGGAGGAGAAGACUCACCCACUGUCCAAGCAUGCAGACCUGACCUGAUGUGCGCUUGCUCGAGGAGAAAGACUGGUCCCUCCCCCACUUCUUCCUGACUUACUGUCUCCCAUGUGAUCUUCACACGAUGCAAUCUGCCAUGAUCUGGCAGGCUCAGGGAGCCUUUUCCGGAGCUGACACCAUGUUCUUGAACUCACAAUACUGUGAAAUAAACUGUUUUGUUUUGUUUUGUUUUUUUAAA